UCCUGACCGAAACACACUGCCAUUGGCUCAGGCAAGCCUGCAGCCUGACUGGGGUCGGCUGCCCCUGGGCCACUUCCAACCUCCCCCUCACUGGGUACUUGCCCUCUGCCAGCGUCGUCCGGGGCGUCCCAGACCAUGGGUUCCUCAGGGUGUCCGCCGUCGGGAGGUCCAGUCCACUCCUCGGGGUACCGGGCGGCGGGAGGUCCAGUCCACUCCUCGGGGUACCGGGCGCCGGGAGGUCCAGUCCACUCCUCGGGGUACCGGGCGGCGGGAGGUCCAGUCCACUCCUCGGGGUACCGGGCGGCGGGAGGUCCAGGCAGCUCCUCCACAGGCCGAGCGUCGGACCGCUCAGUCAGCUCCUCUGAGUGCUGGCCCCAGGGGAGGUCAGGCCAGUACUCCUCCGGGUACUGGGCACGGGGUAGGCCGGGCCCAGCGGGAGCUCGGGCCCUAG